rnacentral:rRNA from 1 species
GUUGGGUAGGGGAGCGUUCUGUAAGCCUGUGAAGGUGUGCUGUGAGGCAUGCUGGAGGUAUCAGAAGUGCGAAUGCUGACAUAAGUAACGAUAAAGCGGGUGAAAAGCCCGCUCGCCGGAAGACCAAGGGUUCCUGUCCAACGUUAAUCGGGGCAGGGUGAGUCGACCCCUAAGGCGAGGCCGAAAGGCGUAGUCGAUGGGAAACAGGUUAAUAUUCCUGUACUUGGUGUUACUGCGAAGGGGGGACGGAGAAGGCUAUGUUGGCCGGGCGACGGUUGUCCCGGUUUAAGCGUGUAGGUGUGUGUUCCAGGUAAAUCCGGUUCACUUUAACACUGAGGCGUGAUGACGAGGCACUACGGUGCUGAAGCAACAAAUGCCCUGCUUCCAGGAAAAGCCUCUAAGCAUCAGGUAACAUCAAAUCGUACCCCAAACCGACACAGGUGGUCAGGUAGAGAAUACCAAGGCGCUUGAGAGAACUCGGGUGAAGGAACUAGGCAAAAUGGUGCCGUAACUUCGGGAGAAGGCACGCUGAUAUGUAGGUGAAGUGAUUUACUCAUGGAGCUGAAAUCAGUCGAAGAUACCAGCUGGCUGCAACUGUUUAUUAAAAACACAGCACUGUGCAAACACGAAAGUGGACGUAUACGGUGUGACGCCUGCCCGGUGCCGGAAGGUUAAUUGAUGGGGUUAUCCGUAAGGAGAAGCUCUUGAUCGAAGCCCCGGUAAACGGCGGCCGUAACUAUAACGGUCCUAAGGUAGCGAAAUUCCUUGUCGGGUAAGUUCCGACCUGCACGAAUGGCGUAAUGAUGGCCAGGCUGUCUCCACCCGAGACUCAGUGAAAUUGAACUCGCUGUGAAGAUGCAGUGUACCCGCGGCAAGACGGAAAGACCCCGUGAACCUUUACUAUAGCUUGACACUGAACACUGGUCCUUGAUGUGUAGGAUAGGUGGGAGGCUUUGAAGUGUGGACGCCAGUCUGCAUGGAGCCGCCCUUGAAAUACCACCCUUUAAUGGCUGGUGUUCUAACGUAGGCCCGU